GCUGGGCGUGGUGGCAUGCGCCUGUAGUCCAGCUACUCAGGAGGCCGAGGCAGGAGAAUUGCUUGAACCCAGGAGCUGGAGGUUGCAGUGAGCUGAGAUGAAGCCACUGCACCCCAGCCUGGGCGACAGAGCAAGACUCUGUCUCAA
ensembl:misc_RNA Metazoa_SRP Metazoan signal recognition particle RNA